rnacentral:rRNA from 1 species
GAGGAAUAUUGGUCAAUGGACGAGAGUCUGAACCAGCCAAGUAGCGUGAAGGAUGACUGCCCUAUGGGUUGUAAACUUCUUUUAUACGGGAAUAAAGUUAGCCACGUGUGGCUUUUUGUAUGUACCGUAUGAAUAAGGAUCGGCUAACUCCGUGCCAGCAGCCGCGGUAAUACGGAGGAUCCGAGCGUUAUCCGGAUUUAUUGGGUUUAAAGGGAGCGUAGGCGGGUUGUUAAGUCAGUUGUGAAAGUUUGCGGCUCAACCGUAAAAUUGCAGUUGAUACUGGCGACCUUGAGUGCAACAGAGGUAGGCGGAAUUCGUGGUGUAGCGGUGAAAUGCUUAGAUAUCACGAAGAACUCCGAUUGCAAAGGCAGCUUACUGGAUUGUAACUGACGCUGAUGCUCGAAAGUGUGGGUAUCAAACAGGAUUAGAUACCCUGGUAGUCCACACAGUAAACGAUGAAUACUCGCUGUUGGCGAUAUACGGUCAGCGGCCAAGCGAAAGCAUUAAGUAUUCCACCUGGGGAGUACGCCGGCAACGGUGAAACUCAAAGGAAUUGACGGGGGCCCGCACAAGCGGAGGAACAUGUGGUUUAAUUCGAUGAUACGCGAGGAACCUUACCCGGGCUUAAAUUGCAACUGACUGAACCGGAAACGGUUCUUUCUUCGGACAGUUGUGAAGGUGCUGCAUGGUUGUCGUCAGCUCGUGCCGUGAGGUGUCGGCUUAAGUGCCAUAACGAGCGCAACCCUUAUCGAUAGUUACUAGCAGGUCAUGCUGAGGACUCUAUUGAGACUGCCGUCGUAAGAUGUGAGGAAGGUGGGGAUGACGUCAAAUCAGCACGGCCCUUACGUCCGGGGCUACACACGUGUUACAAUGGGGGGUACAGAAGGCAGCUACACGGCGACGUGGUGCUAAUCCCGAAAGCCUCUCUCAGUUCGGAUUGGAGUCUGCAACCCGACUCCAUGAAGCUGGAUUCGCUAGUAAUCGCGCAUCAGCCACGGCGCGGUGAAUACGUUCCCG